rnacentral:snRNA from 1 species
CGAAUUUGAGUUUUAUCAGAGA